GGCGACAUAGCUCAGUUGGUAGAGCACAGCACUGAAAAUGCUGGUGUCGUUGGUUCGAUUCCAACUGUCGCCACCA
rnacentral:tRNA from 1 species